rnacentral:sRNA from 1 species
UGGGAAGUUGGGGCCCCACUGGGCUGUGA